rnacentral:rRNA from 1 species
CCUACGGGAGGCAACAGUGAGGAAUAUUGGUCAAUGGACGGAAGUCUGAACCAGCCAUGCCGCGUGCAGGAAGACGGCUCUAUGAGUUGUAAACUGCUUUUGUACAAGGGUAAACCUGAAUACGUGUAUUCAGCUGAAAGUACUGUACGAAUAAGGAUCGGCUAACUCCGUGCCAGCAGCCGCGGUAAUACGGAGGAUCCAAGCGUUAUCCGGAUUUAUUGGGUUUAAAGGGUGCGUAGGCGGAUUGAUAAGUUAGAGGUUAAAUGUCCGAGCUUAACUCGGGAACUGCCUCUAAUACUGUUGAUCUAGAGCGUAGAUGCGGUAGGCGGAAUGUAUGGUGUAGCGGUGAAAUGCUUAGAGAUCAUACAGAACACCGAUUGCGAAGGCAGCUUACCAAUCUAUAUCUGACGUUGAGGCACGAAAGCGUGGGGAGCAAACAGGAUUAGAUACCCCAGUAGUC